GGGGACGUAGCUCAGCUGGGAGAGCACCGGCUUUGCAAGCCGGGGGUCGAGGGUUCGAGCCCCUUCGUCUCCACCA
rnacentral:tRNA from 1 species